UGCCAGCCGCCGCGGUAAUCCGGAUGGUGCAAGCGUUAUCCGGAAUCACUGGGUUUAAAGGGUACGUAGGCGGGCAUAUAAGUCAGUGGUGAAAUCCUGCGGCUCAACCGUAGCACUGCCAUUGAAACUGUAUGUCUUGAGUAUGAUCGAUGUAGGCGGAAUGUAGCAUGUAGCGGUGAAAUGCAUAGAUAUGCUACAGAACACCAAUAGCGAAGGACAGCUUACAAGAUCAUUACUGACGCUGAGGUACGAAAGCGUGGGUAGCGAACAGGAUUAGAUA
rnacentral:rRNA from 1 species